GGGUCCUUUUACGACGGCCUGGUCCUCAACACGUGCGCGGCUUUCAAGGGCACGUUCGUCCAGCGGUACGCCGAGGCGCUCGGCCUGAAGGUCUGGGCAAUCGGGCCACUCUGCCUCCUCGACUCCGACGCCGAAACCACGGCGGUGAGAGGUAAUCCCGCCGCCGUGGACGCCAGCCUCGUCGCGUCAUGGCUGGACGCGAGGCCGCCCCAGUCCGUGCUCUACGUAAGCUUCGGCAGCGUCGUGCACUUGUUCCCGCCGCAGGUGGCCGAGCUCGCUGCCGGACUGGAGGCAUCAAACCGGCCGUUCAUCUGGGUGGCCAAGGAGACCGACGGCCUCGACUCCGGUUUCGACGCGCGGGUGGAAGGGCGGGGCCACGUCAUCCGCGGCUGGGCGCCGCAGAUGGCCAUUCUGUCCCACCCUUCCGUCGGCGGCUUCCUGACACACUGCGGGUGGAACUCGACGCUGGAGUCUCUCUCCCACGGCGUGCCGCUUCUGACUUGGCCGCAGUUCGCCGACCAGUUCCUUACCGAGAUGCUAGUCGUCGACGUGCUCGGCGCCGGCGUCCGGACCGGCAUCAAGGUGCCUAUCACGCACGUGGUCAGCAACCCCGAGAUGUCGAAAGUGCAGAUCGGGAGGGAGGCCCUGGAGAGAGCGGUGGUUGCGUUGAUGGAUGAGGGCGAAGGAGCUCGCCGUGAUGGCGAGGGAGGCAAUGGCGGAGGGUGGGUCCUCAGACAACGACCUGGGGAGCUUGGUUCGCCAUGUCGCGGAGCUCGUGCAGCAAGAAAAAGACGCCGUGAAGGUUCUUGA
rnacentral:rRNA from 1 species